rnacentral:sRNA from 1 species
AGGUAAUUAGACAUUUAAUUUAAAAACAAAGGACAAUAGCAUACGCUCUGAAGCACGAAGAGCUGCAGCUAUGUCAGUUGAGAAAAGUGGAUUGCCAGCACCAAAACUGAUGCCACCAAAUAUAAUAACUCUUCCUUUCUCAAGAUGUCUGAUAGCCCGCUGCCUAUUGUAUAGUUCAGCAAACUCCUGCAUGGCAAUUGAAGUUUGUACACGAGUCUGAACACCCAUCUUCUCUAGAGUCGAUUGGAGCAAUAUUGAAUUCAUCACUGUUGCCAUCAUG